CCUACGGGUGGCUGCAGUGGGGAAUAUUGGGCAAUGGGCGCAAGCCUGACCCAGCAACGCCGCGUGAAGGAAGAAGGCCCUCGGGUUGUAAACUUCUGUUAUUCGGGACGAAACAAAUGACGGGACCGAAUGAAUAAGCGACGGCUAACAACGUGCCAGCAGCCGCGGUAAUACGUAGGUGGCAAGCGUUCUCCGGAUUUACUGGGUGUAAAGGGCGGGUAGGCGGGAGAGCAAGUCAGACGUGAAAUUCCCGGGCUCAACCCUGGAACUGCGUUUGAAACUGUUCUUCUUGAGUGAUGGAGAGGCAGGCGGAAUUCCGUUUGUAGCGGUGAAAUGCGUAGAUAUCCGGAGGAACACCAGUGGCGAAGGCGGCCUGCUGGACAUUAACUGACGCUGAGGCGCGCACGCGUGGGGAGCAAACAGGAUUAGAUACCCGGGUAGUC
rnacentral:rRNA from 1 species